GGCCUACCAUGGUGGUAACGGGUAACGGGGUGUUAGGGCACGACACCGGAGAGGGAGCCUGAGAAACGGCUACCACAUCCAAGGAUGGCAGCAGGCGCGCAAAUUACCCAAUCCCGACACGGGGAGGUAGUGACAAUAAAUAACAAUACGGGGUUCUUUCGGAUCUCGUAAUUGGAAUGAGUACAAUUUAAAUCUCUUAACGAGGAACAAUUGGAGGGCAAGUCUGGUGCCAGCAGCCGCGGUAAUUCCAGCUCCAAUAGCGUAUAUUAAAGUUGUUGCAGUUAAAAAGCUCGUAGUUGAAUUUCGGGGUUAGUAGGCUGGUCAUGCCUCUGGUAUGUACUGGUCUCACUGAUUCCUCCUUCCUGAUGAACCGUAAUGCCAUUAAUUUGGUGUUGCGGGGAAUUUGGACUGUUACUUUGAAAAAAUUAGAGUGUUUAAAGCAAGCUAACGCUUGAAUACAUUAGCAUGGAAUAAUGAAAUAGGACGUUCGAUCCUAUUUUGUUGGCUUCUAGGAUUGACGUAAUGAUUAAUAGGGAUAGUUGGGGACAUUAGUAUUCAAUUGUCAGAGGUGAAAUUCUUGGAUUUAUUGAAGACUAACUACUGCGAAAGCAUUUGCCAAGGGUGUUUUCAUUAAUCAAGAACGAAAGUUAGGGGAUCGAAGACGAUCAGAUACCGUCGUAGUCUUAACCAUAAACUAUGCCGACUAGGGAUCGGAUGAUGUUAAUUUUUUAAUGACUCAUUCGGCGCCUUACGGGAAACCAAAGUGUUUGGGUUC
rnacentral:rRNA from 1 species